AUGAACGCUGGCGGCGUGCCUAAUACAUGCAAGUCGAGCGAACGGACGAGAAGCUUGCUUCUCUGAUGUUAGCGGCGGACGGGUGAGUAACACGUGGAUAACCUACCUAUAAGACUGGGAUAACUUCGGGAAACCGUAGCUAAUACCGGAUAAUAUUUUGAACCGCAUGGUUCAAAAGUGAAAGACGGUCUUGCUGUCACUUAUAGAUGGAUCCGCGCUGCAUUAGCUAGUUGGUAAGGUAACGGCUUACCAAGGCAACGAUGCAUAGCCGACCUGAGAGGGUGAUCGGCCACACUGGAACUGAGACACGGUCCAGACUCCUACGGGAGGCAGCAGUAGGGAAUCUUCCGCAAUGGGCGAAAGCCUGACGGAGCAACGCCGCGUGAGUGAUGAAGGUCUUCGGAUCGUAAAACUCUGUUAUUAGGGAAGAACAUAUGUGUAAGUAACUGUGCACAUCUUGACGGUACCUAAUCAGAAAGCCACGGCUAACCACGUG
rnacentral:rRNA from 1 species